rnacentral:rRNA from 1 species
UACCAGCACCCCGAGUGGUCGGGACGAUUAUUGGGCCUAAAGCAUCCGUAGCCGGUUCUGCAAGUCCCCCGUUAAAUCCAGCUGCUCAACAGAUGGGCCGCGGAGGAUACUACAGAGCUAGGAGGCAGGAGAGGCAAGCGGUACUCAGUGGGUAGGGGUAAAAUCCGUUGAUCCAUUGAAGACCACCAGAGGCGAAGGCGAGUCACUGGACAGAAUCUGACGCUGAGGCACGAAAGCUAGGGGAGCAAACGGG